GACGAACGCUGGCGGCGUGCUUAACACAUGCAAGUCGAACGGGCCUGUCUUCUUUUUUGGGGGUGGGUUGAGUGGCGAACGGGUGAGUAUCACGUGAGUAACCUGCCCUUCGGUCCUGGAUAACCGCUUGAAAGGGCGGCUAAUACGGGGUGGUCCGGUUGGUCCGCAUGGGCUGGUCGGGAUAGAUUCACUGUUUUUGGUGUUUCGGCGGGGGAUGGGCUCGCGGCCUAUCAGCUUGUUGGUGGGGUGAUGGCCUACCAAGGCGGUGACGGGUAGCCGGCCUGAGAGGGUGGGCGGUCACACUGGGACUGAGAUACGGCCCAGACUCCUGCGGGAGGCAGCAGUGGGGGGUAUUGCACAAUGGGCGGAAGCCUGAUGCAGCGACGUCGCGUGAGGGAUGGAGGCCUUCGGGUUGUGAACCUCUGUUUCCGGUGGUGAAGGCCCUGUCCGUGUGGUGGGGUUGACGGUAGCCGGGGAUGAAGCGCCGGCUAACUACGUG
rnacentral:rRNA from 1 species